rnacentral:rRNA from 1 species
CUAGAGAUAGAAGUUUCCCCUUCGGGGGACAAAGUGACAGGUGGUGCAUGGUUGUCGUCAGCUCGUGUCGUGAGAUGUUGGGUUAAGUCCCGCAACGAGCGCAACCCUUAAGCUUAGUUGCCAUCAUUAAGUUGGGCACUCUAAGUUGACUGCCGGUGACAAACCGGAGGAAGGUGGGGAUGACGUCAAAUCAUCAUGCCCCUUAUGAUUUGGGCUACACACGUGCUACAAUGGACAAUACAAAGGGCAGCGAAACCGCGAGGUCAAGCAAAUCCCAUAAAGUUGUUCUCAGUUCGGAUUGUAGUCUGCAACUCGACUACAUGAAGCUGGAAUCGCUAGUAAUCGUAGAUCAGCAUGCUACGGUGAAUACGUUCCCGGGUCUUGUACACACCGCCCGUCACACCACGAGAGUUUGUAACACCCGAAGCCGGUGGAGUAACCAUUUGGAGCUAGCCGUCGAAGGUGGGACAAAUGAUUGGGGUGAAGUCGUAACAAGGUAGCCGUA